rnacentral:rRNA from 1 species
ACUCAAAUGAAUUGACGGGGGCCUGCACAAGCGGUGGAGUAUGUGGCUUAAUUCGAUGCAACGCGAAGAACCUUACCUGGCCUUGACAUGCAAGUGGUAGGACCAUGAAAGUGGGACGACCCCGCAAGGGGAGCUUGCACAGGUGCUGCAUGGCUGUCGUCAGCUCGUGUCGUGAGAUGUUGGGUUAAGUCCCGCAACGAGCGCAACCCUUGUGUCCUGUUGCCACCCCCACGAGAGUGGGGAGCACUCUGGACAGACUGCCUCGCUUAAACGGGGAGGAAGGUGGGGAUGACGUCAAGUCAGUAUGGCCCUUACGGCCAGGGCUGCACACGUACUACAAUGCCCGGUACAGAGGGAAGCAAGACCGUCAGGUGGAGCAAAUCCCAGAAAACCGGGCCCAGUUCAGAUUGUCGUCUGCAACUCGACGGCAUGAAGCCGGAAUCGCUAGUAAUGGCGCAUCAGCUACGGCGCCGUGAAUACGUUCCCAGGCCUUGUACACACCGCCCGU